rnacentral:tRNA from 1 species
GGGGGCGUAUCGUCACCGGUGUGGCGCACGGCCUUCAAAGCCGCUGAUGGUCCGAAAGGUCCAUGGUAGGUUCGACCCCUAUACGCCUCCGCCA